rnacentral:pre_miRNA from 1 species
UCAUAUUACAUGUUUUGUGCGUGAAUCUAAUUCGAAGGCUUAUUAUCAUAUCCGAUUUUGUUGUUGUUGGAUUAGAUUCACGCACAAACUCGUAAUCUGUCU